AUUGAACGCUGGCGGCAUGCCUUACACAUGCAAGUCGAACGGCAGCGGGGGAGAAGCUUGCUUUUCCUGCCGGCGAGUGGCGAACGGGUGAGUAAUACAUCGGAACGUGCCCUGUAGUGGGGGAUAACUAGUCGAAAGAUUAGCUAAUACCGCAUACGACCCGAGGGUGAAAGUGGGGGACCGCAAGGCCUCAUGCUAUAGGAGCGGCCGAUGUCUGAUUAGCUAGUUGGUGGGGUAAAGGCCUACCAAGGCGACGAUCAGUAGCUGGUCUGAGAGGACGAUCAGCCAAACUGGGACUGAGACACGGCCCAGACUCCUACGGGAGGCAGCAGUGGGGAAUUUUGGACAAUGGGCGAAAGCCUGAUCCAGCAAUGCCGCGUGUGUGAAGAAGGCCUUCGGGUUGUAAAGCACUUUUGUCCGGAAAGAAAUGGCUCUGGUUAAUACCUGGGGUCGAUGACGGUACCGGAAGAAUAAGGACCGGCUAACUACGUGCCAGCAGCCGCGGUAA
rnacentral:rRNA from 1 species